GGGUGAAUCAUUGUCGAAUGUGAAAAGGAAACUUUACCAAAUUGGUACUCCAAUAUCAUCAAGGGGAAAACAUCUGGAUAAAUUAAGAUACCUAAAUGUAGAAUUUACUGAACGUAAAAAACUUACAUUUCUUGUUAUUUAUGUGAAUUUUAAUAUUUUAUUCUGUGGUUGGGUAUUUUGUUAAUCUAUUUUGCUUCUAACUGGUACCUCCGAAGAAAUAAAUUGCUACUCACCAGCAGAUGUCGCCACUGGACAUAAAAGUUUUAGCUCCUGGAUCACAGAUGGCGCUGUUCAAGAAAAAUCACAACCAAGAAGACCUUUAUAAUGUAUUGACGAGCCCUUGUCAUUUCUUUGGCCCUGUGUGCCUAAUACUACUGGACGGAGAACUGAUAAGGGCUUGUCUUGCAUAAAACCAGCGUUGGAACCACUGAAGACUUUUCUUCUAUCGUAUCUUUAUACAGAAUGUUCCAAAAAUGGUAUUUCUCAAUAUAACUAUUCGUGGGUGGCAUCACAUUACCCUUUUUGGAAAACUGUAUAUUUUAUAUGAUCUCUCAAGAUUUCUGCGGGCAUUUAGUACUCCGAAU